AGCAUAAAGUGAAGAGGAAAGGAAAGAACACAUACCCUAGGUGGAAAAAUUCAAGAGAAAGUGUGAAAAUCCAAAGAAUUAAGCAAGGUGGUGAGCUAUUUGAUAAGGAUAAAGAGAUUACACCAAAGAUCGGGACUAGGAGUAUUUCUACUCCUGAUACUUAGAGGUUCUGUGGACCAGCCUAAGAGAGAGGGCACAUAAUUAGAUAUACCUUACCUCGAUCGAAGAGCUGUGUGAAGGGUGUCUCAGGAGGUAAAGAUUUGAGUGCACUUCACGUGGACCACCGCGUGAGAGUGAAACUCAGCCAACGCCAAGGCAUGGCUAGAUUUCAAAUUUAAAAAUAUGUUCAUGUGUGUACUACACUGAACAACCUUGGUGGUCUCGGUUAGAUGCCUAGGCCAAGGCAUCCUCGGGAAUGAUAUUGGCAGGAGCCAAGUUUUGUGAAAUACAUAAGCUAAGUUGAUUAUUUGAAUAAAUUGAUUAUUGAUGUUAUGAAAAACAUACUGGAAUGGAAUAUCUUACUUGUCUCCAUUUACUCGACUUUAGAUGGUUUAGAUGGUAUCUGUUUACUCACUAGGAUUUUAAAAUCUCACCACCCUCAAUUUCCCACAUUUCAGGCUUGGGAUAACCAGUAGAUAGCUGAUUGCAUCAAGGACUUCAGUUAGCCUUGCAUCGAUAAAAUUGUAGGUUCACAGACUUGCACCUUAUUGGUUAG
rnacentral:sRNA from 10 species